GACGAACGCUGGCGGCGUGCCUAAUACAUGCAAGUAGAACGCUGAAGAGAGGAGCUUGCUCUUCUUGGAUGAGUUGCGAACGGGUGAGUAACGCGUAGGUAACCUGCCUUGUAGCGGGGGAUAACUAUUGGAAACGAUAGCUAAUACCGCAUAACAAUGGAUGACCCAUGUCAUUUAUUUGAAAGGGGCAAAUGCUCCACUACAAGAUGGACCUGCGUUGUAUUAGCUAGUAGGUGAGGUAACGGCUCACCUAGGCGACGAUACAUAGCCGACCUGAGAGGGUGAUCGGCCACACUGGGACUGGGACACGGCCCAGACUCCUACGGGAGGCAGCAGUAGGGAAUCUUCGGCAAUGGGGGCAACCCUGACCGAGCAACGCCGCGUGAGUGAAGAAGGUUGUCGGAUCGUAAAGCUCUGUUGUAAGUCAAGAACGAGUGUGAGAGUGGAAAGUUCACACUGUGACGGUAGCUUACCAGAAAGGGACGGCUAACUACGUG
rnacentral:rRNA from 1 species